rnacentral:rRNA from 1 species
CCUACGGGGUGCAGCAGUGGGGAAUAUUGCACAAUGGGGGAAACCCUGAUGCAGCGACGCCGCGUGAGUGAUGACGUAUUUCGGUAUGUAAAGCUCUAUCAGCAGGGGAGAAAAUGACUGUACCUGAUUAAGAAGCGACGGGUAACCACGUGCCAGCAGCCGCUGUAUUACGUAGGGGGCCAGCGUUAUCAGGAUUUACUGGGUGUAAAGGGAGCGUAGACGGCAGCGCAAGUCUGAAGUGAAAUGCCUGGGCUUAACCCCGGACGUGCUUUGGAAAAUGAGGAGCUAGAGUGCAGGAGAGGUAAGUGGAAUUCCUGGUGUAGCGGUGAAAUGCGUAGAUAUUAGGAGGAACACCAGUGGCGAAGGCGGCUUACUGGACUGUAACUGACGUUGAGGCUCGAAAGCGUGGGGAGCGAACAGGAUUAGAUACCCCGGUAGUC